rnacentral:rRNA from 1 species
GAUGAACGCUGGCGGCGUGCCUAAUACAUGCAAGUCGAGCGAACAGAUGAGAAGCUUGCUUCUCUGAUGUUAGCGGCGGACGGGUGAGUAACACGUGGGUAACCUACCUAUAAGACUGGGAUAACUCCGGGAAACCGGGGCUAAUACCGGAUAAUAUUUUGAACCGCAUGGUUCAAUAGUGAAAGACGGUUUCGGCUGUCACUUAUAGAUGGACCCGCGCCGUAUUAGCUAGUUGGUAAGGUAACGGCUUACCAAGGCGACGAUACGUAGCCGACCUGAGAGGGUGAUCGGCCACACUGGAACUGAGACACGGUCCAGACUCCUACGGGAGGCAGCAGUAGGGAAUCUUCCGCAAUGGGCGAAAGCCUGACGGAGCAACGCCGCGUGAGUGAUGAAGGUCUUCGGAUCGUAAAACUCUGUUGUUAGGGAAGAACAAAUUUGUUAGUAACUGAACAAGUCUUGACGGUACCUAACCAGAAAGCCACGGCUAACUACGUGCCAGCAGCCGCGGUAAUACGUAGGUGGCAAGCGUUAUCCGGAAUUAUUGGGCGUAAAGCGCGCGUAGGCGGUUUCUUAAGUCUGAUGUGAAAGCCCACGGCUCAACCGUGGAGGGUCAUUGGAAACUGGGGAACUUGAGUGCAGAAGAGGAGAGUGGAAUUCCAUGUGUAGCGGUGAAAUGCGCAGAGAUAUGGAGGAACACCAGUGGCGAAGGCGGCUCUCUGGUCUGUAACUGACGCUGAUGUGCGAAAGCGUGGGGAUCAAACAGGAUUAGAUACCCUGGUAGUCCACGCCGUAAACGAUGAGUGCUAAGUGUUAGGGGGUUUCCGCCCCUUAGUGCUGCAGCUAACGCAUUAAGCACUCCGCCUGGGGAGUACGACCGCAAGGUUGA